rnacentral:rRNA from 1 species
AGCGAACGCUGGCGGCAGGCUUAACACAUGCAAGUCGAGCGGGCAUCCUUGUGGUGUCAGCGGCAGACGGGUGAGUAACGCGUGGGAACGUGCCCUUCGGUUCGGAAUAACUCAGGGAAACUUGAGCUAAUACCGGAUACGUGCGAGAGCAGAAAGGUUUAUCUGCCGAAGGAUCGGCCCGCGUCUGAUUAGCUAGUUGGUGAGGUUACGGCUCACCAAGGCGACGAUCAGUAGCUGGUCUGAGAGGAUGAUCAGCCACACUGGGACUGAGACACGGCCCAGACUCCUACGGGAGGCAGCAGUGGGGAAUAUUGGACAAUGGGGGCAACCCUGAUCCAGCCAUGCCGCGUGAGUGAUGACGGCCUUAGGGUUGUAAAGCUCUCUUCUCCGGGACGAUAAUGACGGUACCGGAGGAAUAAGCCCCGGCUAACUUCGUG